CUACAUCAUGCCUCUCUGUAGCUGCUCUGCCUGAUGCUCUGCUCUGCCCCCGAUCUCCUGUCAGUACUCUGCAGUGUCUGCUCUGCCUGCUGUAUGCACUCAAUGCUCGUCAAACUCCCCUUGGCUACUGUCUGAGCCUCCCACGGCUGAUGCCCCUCUCUACUCGUCAGACUCUUCACGGCUGCACACACACCCAGCUUUAUUACCCACAGGGCCGUUUAAAGCCCUAAAAUCGAAACAACAUCAGAAUCAGGCUCUUGAUCAAACUCCAAAAGCUCUGCUACUGUAUGAUCUUCACUGCUUGCCUUCUUAGCCAUCAGAUUGUGCUCAUUAAUGCAGAUCAACACCCGAACUAGCCUCCCAAGUGUUCGAUCAAGCCUUAAUCAUCAUCUGGAUCAUUCGAUCAUGCAGAUACCUUAAGAAAUGCCUGCAAAACACCUC
rnacentral:lncRNA from 1 species